AACAACAACAACAACAACAACAACAACAACAACUUAAAAGAUUUGAAGUUUCAGAAAAGAACAGCAGGGUAUAUCUGUUGCUUUAGCAGUACCGCUCUCCCAAUAUGGAACCAAUUGUUUAGACUGAAGAUGUGAAGGUCUUUGACUAUACUGAAGGUGCAAUCAUUUACAACUAAAUGGAAGGAAUGUCUCUCACACAAGCAAUUAAUACACACUAGAAUUUUCCCAGUAACCAGAUGGCAUGCAUUUCAUACCAAGCUUUUUGAAAUAAGAACUAAAAUCAUCUGCCAAUAAGUUGCAUGGAAGUUUUCCACAGUCUCCUUAGGUGACCUCCUUUAAGAUUUUGAAUUUUUUGAGGUCAGAAAGCUUAUAAAUAUUCAUUUCUUGGUGACUCACUUUCAGGGCUGUGGUGGAGUAAUUAUAGAAUAAUUCUAGUUAGCCAUCAUUGAAAACAUUCUGACUUUAGCUCAUGUUAGGUUAUGCUUUUUUUUUUUUUUACUUUCUGCUUGUUUUCAAUAUAGUUCUUACUCAGAGUGCCACAUAAAGAAAUGUAGAUAAAUCUAAAAGGCUAUGGACAAUGUUAUUCUCUUUGACUAGAGACAUUAUUGCUUUGAGUCCAAAACUUUAGAGAAUGUAUGAGAGUAUUGAAAUUCAAAAUUUUUCAAUAUACG